AAUCGGGGAAAUGUGAACGUUGACGAUGUUAAGGAAUCCGCCAAAGUAAUUGUCCGUGCUCUACUUAGAGCUUUUACAUGAUUAAAAGAAUCAGACAGCUCCACGAUCAAGUUUCAGAAGCUACUGGGGAGAGAGCUCCCAACUUUCUUCAUCGUCUCCAGGACAGGAAGUUUUCUGCAGGGAGACGGCACCUCCACUGCCAGCACGAGAAUCACCGCGCAUCACCAUCUUCAGCCGAUGGAGACCCAUUUCAAAGGUGGAUCUUGGGAGCUCCACCCGCUCCAAGCCAUUGCGCCUCUGAACGCCAAGCUCGGGACGACUUGUGGAUGGCGUGCGGCCAUGGAGACACCGCUGUUAGUGCAGAUGGAUUUGUGGUUCAGGGCAGUUGCAGUUGGUGAUGUGUUUACCUUUGAAGACGCAGCCUGCCUUCCCUGGGAUGGUUGUUGGCUGUCCUCUUCCAGGCCACACAGGAAGAAGGUGACAGUCCUAAUUGCCACCCCUCCCCCAACAUCCCCCCACCACCACCAGGAAGCCAGACGCUUGGUCCCCAUUGCCUGGGCGCUGCCUGAGAGGCACUGUUGGCUGCCACAACUUGUGUGAACCUUGGGGGUGACCUUGAGGGGGCAGGCAGGGAAAGGCAAGAAUCAGCAUGUUGGAGAGCUGGCCAGUGUCCUGGUUAAGGCUGGCUGGCUCAGGGUCCACCCUCAACGUGAACUUGGAGCUCUUUGAGGGCAAGGCCUAUGUCUGAAGCAUCCUGCACUCCCAGUGCCUCACUUGACAUGUGGCACAUAGUAGGUGUUCAUUUGGCACGGUGUAGGUGAUUGCUCCUGAGGAGACCAGCAACCAAGGAGCAUUUGGAGGCAACCAGGAAAACAGAUGUUAAGGACUGUCCUGGAACGUGCCCCUGGGCCACCCCCGUGAUUGCAUCAUCCUUUUGGUCCAUGGCGAAGCUCUGGGUCAAGCACAAAAAGCAGAAAUGUCCCUUGUGUUUUGUUGGCUACAAAAUCUGGCUCUCCUGCAAAAAGGGGGACAAAUUCUCUGUAUCUAUUUGUGCAGGAAUUUAUAGCCUUGGCGCUCUCUUCUAAAUGUCUUUGAAAGCUAGUAAGUUAGAAAUGUUCUUGGUGGGGAGACAAAGGGCUGGUCCCUAGGGUUGGCACUGCCCUAAAGAGCUGCCUUUCCUGGGAACCCAAGGCUGCAUCUAAAUGGGUUAACGUGGUGAAGACGUGGGCAGGUCGUUUAGGGUUGAGGAGAGAAAGGGAAGGCCCUUCCAGCUGCCUCUCUGUCUGUUCACUAGGGUCUUGCGGGCUCACACUGCCGUCUCUGGGCGGGAGGACAGCUGUUCGCUGGGUUUUUGGGCUGCUCUCUGGGAAUUUGAUGGCUGGAAUGUCGUUAACACUGGGUCUCAGGAGUACCUUCUCUAAGGACUGUCCCAAGACCAAACAGAAUAAGAAAUAAAAGAAACGGGUAGAGGAGCUGAAAUGGCCAACCAGGGGAAGGCUCCUGGGAGAACAAGGGACUGGGGGGCAGGGGACUCCGAGCUCAGCACUCCUAGGGAGCUGGCAAAGGCCUGUCCAAAGAAGCUGUUCCAGAGGCUUCUAGGAAAUUGCUUAAGAAACUAGGUCUGAAAGGAAAGCUGUAAAGUGCUUUAUGGUAUGUAAAGUCACCCCCCAGCCCCACUCCUCCUACGGAGGACACCAGUGGCCCUCCCCCUCAGAACAGCCACGCCAGCUCUUGUGAUGAGCACCAGCGAGCUUGUCCCCCUCCCGGGGGCUUGGGCCCCCGUCACCAAGCGUGUGAGAGACCCGGACAGUAGCUGUAGCAAACGUGCGCUUAGUGCUUCGCAUGCAGUGUCUCAUUUCAUCCUCCCACAAGCCUUGAAAUGGGAUGUUUCUAUCCUCAGGUUACCAAUGAAGAAACUGAAAGGCAGAGAGGUUAAGUAACUUGCCCAAGGUCAUGCCUCUAAGAAGUAGAGGCGCAAGGGUUCAAGUUAAGGUCUGCCCCAUGCCCUGUGCUUUGGAAAGUUCUAGUUUUCCCGUUGCAGGAUUUUUAAUUCCAUUUGCUGGAAUGGCUAGUCCAUUUUCUGUCCCUGUUACACGGUCAUCUUGCAAUAGUCCUUCCUGCUUCUACAGUCUCUUCUGUGGCCUGUCAAAGCGGCAAAAUGGUUUCUAAGAAAACAAGUCCUGUACGUACCGAGCGCUCCCCACCCCUAUUAAAGCCACGUUCAUGAGAAAUGCCCAGCUUUCUACUGGCAGUCACUGGAAUUUCUGCCGUGGGAAUUUGGGGGGAGAGUCUGAGUCCUGGCAGGCUCAAUCUGUGAUUAUGCCCUGCGUUCCUUAAGUCGAGUGUCAGGCAGAACAAAGCAGGAACAUCUUAUUUCUGCUCCACCCUGUCUGGACCGCAAACAGAGUGACCUGAACAGCUGGAUUUGGCUGAGCCUCAGUUCUGUCUGCCAGCCGGACUCCUCUCCCUGUCUCCCAGGGGCAUCCACUGAGAUGGGGCUGAAAUGGCCAGAAUGGCUCUUUCACUCCUGUCUCUGGUGCCUCUGUGUUCACCCACAUGGCAUCUCUCAGGAGAGGAGCCUGAUCUUACGGUGUUGCCCUGGGCUCCAGGAGCCCACUGUCUAAGCUCUUCUCCACUGCGCUGUACCUGUCCCAGCCCCCACCUCCCCUUCUGCGGGGAACAGCCUCAUUCAGCCCCCACUGCCAGGUGGCUGUGUUGUAUCAUGUGACCCUGUCUCCAUCCCCCGCCCCACAUGCAGGUCAUGGGACCAGGAUCCAUAUAGGGUGGCCCACACCUUUUGAAGUCACUUGGCUCAGACAUAAAGAAAGCCAGUCAGACCAGUCAGAUUCCCCUUUUAGGAAAUCUGAACCCCCAAAUCAGACAGGAUGGACAGCCUGUGACAAGCUGUCACAAGGGCAAGUAGGGCCUGGAUGAACCACUGUGCUGAACAGAAUGAUGGUGAAGGAUAAACUGGGAAAUUGAAGAAAAACAAAACAAGCGAUGGCAUGGAGAAAAUGCACUUACAGUUGGGGGAACAGUGAGCCUCUUUUGCAAAAAGAUAAAGGAGGGAAUGACCAGAGCAAAGCUGGGACUCCAUGAAAGGCAGAGAGAGAAGCCAGGCCUGGAGCCACCUGAUGCCGGGAGCUCCCCAGGCCCGCCUUGCCCCUGGGAGUCACUGCAGCCAGCCUGGUACUUACUCCCUUUGCUGUCUGUUGGCUUAGAAGAGGGCACGUGACUUAGUUCUGCCGACAAAACUUAGAGGGAAAUGGCUGGAGGACCUUCUGGGAAAAAUUUUGUUUUCUGAUUAAAAGAGAGAGAGGAAAGAGGCCUGUCCCUUCUUCCCACUUUGGACAUGGAUGUCUGAGAUAUGAUACUUGGAGCUGUAGCAGCCAUUUUAAGACCAAGAGGCAACAAGACCAAGGGAAAAAGCCAACAUACCAAGGUUGGCCGACCAGACAGACAAAAAAGCCUGGGUCUUUGAUGAUACUGUUGAGCCACUAUACCUAUCCUGGAACCACCUACUUCCAGUCUCUCUGAUCUAUAAAUUAAAUCCCUUUAUUUUCUAAGCAGAUUUCUGCUAUUUGCAGCCUGAGGCCUUCUUAACCAGGACAGCACUCCUCUGAACCUCUCCAUCAUCAACUCCUUCCAGCCUCGUGGCUCUUGGUAUACCUCCAAAUGGAGAACCAGCCCAAGUGCAGACACUGGAAAUCUUACUUACAUGGUAGGAAAUAAAAGUCAAGACUUGUCACAGCCUACACAGGCAAGAGCUCCAGCUCCUAGUUCCAACUCCUGAGGCCUCUGGGGCACCAGUGAGGGAAGAAAGAUUCAGGAAAGUUCCAGACGUAUGAGCGUGAGUCUUCAAAAAUGGGGCACAGUGAUGAAUUUUAAAACAAAUUAGUGGGGUAGGGGGGUGGGCAGUGCUGAUCCCUGGGAUGCAGAGCCUGAGCACAGGUAGCAAAGCCGUGGAAGAGCAGCACAUUGGCAGGGGCAAGUGGCGACUGGGUCGGGUGAAUUCUGGAGAAGGAGGCCAGUGUCCACAGCAGGAUUUGAUGAGCCCCAAGUACUAACUGGAAGGAGUUUAAGGCAGCUAGAACUAAACUGGUAGAAAACUAGGCCUUUUAAUUACUCUCCAGCCAGCCUUAGCAACAUUUUGUAUCCUCUUAGGAAUAAGGUGCCCUGAAUUGUGGCCAGUCCCCACUUUCUUCAUUGUUCAUGUCUUUUCUACCAAUCCCUUUUUCGCUACCAUUUCUUCCUGUCUUCUCUAAGCACAGCCAGGAGCCAGAAAUGCACAAGACCUGAUUCUCUUCUCCCUCAGUUGGAGGACGAAGGUAGUGGCCGGCAAGGAUGUCUUUUAGGAGACUUGGAAAUCUAGGCUAGGAUAAGGAGUUUGGUUGGGAGGAGAGAACUCAGUUGGUUGAUAAGGACUAGAUUAAGCUUUCUUCUCAUCCAGCUUUCAUCAAGCAGUGUGUUUUUUGUGUUGCUUCAACUCAAGAAAACGUGCCUGAUCCUUCCCUUGUGACAUGAGAAGUUGAACUCAAAAACUCUAGCCCUUCCUCUUUAAAUUUCUAGUUUUAGAUAUAAAACAGACAGAAACUGGCAUCCUCCUGAUGUAUCCUACAAAUACAAAUUAUCCCAUUACAUGCAGAACUUGAGAAAAAUCACCAGCCCAUUUCCCAUCUCAAAAUAGUCUUCAGCAGUAAAGAGAAGCAGCCCACAGAAGUUCCUCAAGUUAAUGGGGCCCGAACAUGGAUGAGUUGCAGUCAUAUUAGAAUUUGCAACCUCCAGAUCCUGCCAGUAAGCCUCCCCUGCCUCAGUGCAGUCUUUAUUUGCCCUCCUCGUUUUAGGGAGUCCUGCCCCCGAAGGCCAGAACCAGGCCGACUCUGCUGUUAGCCUGCUGUAUUACUUCAUUCAUUCAGCAGAAAUGUACCAGAUACCGAGUAGAAUGAGAAGUUAAGCUUAGAAAAGCAAGGCUAACGUGGGGAAGAUAAGUCACGAGAGACAAAAAAAAUUCUACAGAUAAACAAAGAAAUGAGCUUUGGUUCAACUGGAAGGAGCAAAACGUCUGAGCCCCUACUCAGUGCGAUUAAUAAACCCUGAAUCUCCUCCCCAAAACGCCCCGUGUAUCAGUAAGGAUUCUCUGCGAUCCAAUAAGGAAAAGAACUGCAGGCGUUUCCUCAUUCUCCAUAAUCAAAGUUUUUCUCCAGAAUGAAUUAGCCUGAUUACUGGCUAAAAGCUCUCCCGCAAUCUUUACAACGAGAGUGUUUCUUUCCUGUGCAUUCACCCAAGAUGAGAAGGAGCCCCGCUGUCCCCAAGUGAUUUUCCACAUUGGUUGUAUUCACAGGCUCCCCUCCAGCAUGAAUGAUCUGACGUUCAGUACGCCCCACGCUUCCCCUAGACAGCUACCCGCAUUCACCACGAAUGCCCGCGUUAAGUCCCGAAUGAAUUAGCUGACAUUGUCUGAGGCUGGAACUCUGAUUGAAGGUUCUUCCUCAUCCAUUACGCUCCCAGGGCUCCUAUCUGCUUUGAAAUCCCAGAUGUCUAAUUAGCACACUGAGCACUGUCUAAAAUCAUUUGCACAUCCAUUACGUGCAUAUGGUUUUUCUCCAGUGUGAAUUCUCUGACGCUGAAUGAGCUUUACUUUCCUGAAAGCCCUCACAUUUAUUGCAUUUGUAGAAUUCCCACUGCAUGUGAAUUGACUGAUGCCAUGUGGUGUCAGAAUGCUGACGGAUGCCUCCCACAAACCAGGACUGUCUCCAGGAUGAAGGUUACCAUGUUUGGUAGGAUGGGAGCCCUAGAAAAGUUGCCUGUAUUCAUAACAAAGAUGUUCUCUCUAUGAGUACUGUAAUAUUGAAUAAAUUCUGAAUUCAGUUCUAA